GAUCAUGGCUCAGAUUGAACGCUGGCGGCAGGCCUAACACAUGCAAGUCGAGCGGCAUCGGGAAGGUAGCUUGCUAUCUUUGCCGGCGAGCGGCGGACGGGUGAGUAAAGUCUGGGGAUCUGCCUGAUGGAGGGGGAUAACUACUGGAAACGGUAGCUAAUACCGCAUGAUGUUACGCGACCAAAGCGGGGGACCUCCGGGCCUCGCGCCAUCAGAUGAACCCAGAUGGGAUUAGCUAGUAGGAGAGGUAAUGGCUCCCCUAGGCGACGAUCCCUAGCUGGUCUGAGAGGAUAACCAGCCACACUGGAACUGAGAGACGGUCCAGACUCCUACGGGAGGCAGCAGUGGGGAAUAUUGCACAAUGGGCGCAAGCCUGAUGCNAGCCAUGCCGCGUGUGUG
rnacentral:rRNA from 1 species